UACGUAGGAGGCAAGCGUUGUCCGGAGUUACUGGGCGUAAAGAGCUCGUAGGCGGUCUGUCGCGUCGGCUGUGAAAGCCCGGGGCUCAACCCCGGGUCUGCAGUCGAUACGGGCAGGCUAGAGUGCGGUAGGGGAGACUGGAAUUCCUGGUGUAGCGGUGAAAUGCGCAGAUAUCAGGAGGAACACCGGUGGCGAAGGCGGGUCUCUGGGCCGUAACUGACGCUGAGGAGCGAAAGCGUGGGGAGCGAACAGG
rnacentral:rRNA from 1 species